rnacentral:misc_RNA from 1 species
UACUGGCAGGAUCAACCAGGCAACGGUGAAGAACAAGUACCCUCUUCCGCGGAUCGACAAGCUUUUCGACCAGCUUCAGGGUGCCCAACACUUUUUGAAGAUAGAUCUGAGAUCAGGAUACCACCAGCUACGGGUCAGAGAGAAGGAUAUACAGAAGACAGUGCUUCGGACACGCUACGGCCAUUAUGAGUUCCUUGUCAUGCCGUUCGGGCUGACGAAUGCACCAGCAAUGUUCAUGGCCUUGAUGAACAAGAUCUUUGCACCGUACCUCGAUAGCUUCACUGUAGUAUUCAUCGACGACAUGCUAGUCUACUCAAAGUCUAGAGAUGAGCACGAGCAGCAUUUGAGGACGUCUCUACAGCUAUUGCGCGACAACCAGUUAUACGCGAAGCUCAGCA